rnacentral:rRNA from 1 species
GUUAGGAAUAUUGGACAAUGGGCGAAAGCCUGAUCCAGCCAUGCCGCGUGAACGAUGAAGGCCUUCGGGUUGUAAAGUUCUUUAGCCGAUGAUUAUAAUGACUGUAGUCGGAAAAUAAGCCCCGGCUAACUUCGUGCCAGCAGCCGCGGUAAUACGAAGGGGGCGAGCGGUAUUCGGAAUCACUGGGCGUAAAGCGUGCGUAGGCGGUUUUGUAAGUUAGGAGUGAAAGCCCAGGGCUCAACCUUGGAAUUGCUCUUAAAACUGCAAGGCUCGAAUCUCGGAGAGGAUAGCGGAAUUUCCAGUGUAGCAGUGAAAUGCGUAGAUAUUGGAAGGAACACCAGUGGCGUAAGCGGCUAUCUGGACGAGUAUUGACGCUGAGGCACGAAAGCGUGGGGAUCAAACAGGAUUAGAAACCCGAGUAGUCC